UACGUAGGGUGCAAGCGUUAAUCGGAAUUACUGGGCGUAAAGCGUGCGCAGGCGGUUUUGUAAGUCUGUCGUGAAAUCCCCGGGCUUAACCUGGGAAUGGCGAUGGAGACUGCAAGGCUAGAGUUUGGCAGAGGGGGGUAGAAUUCCACGUGUAGCAGUGAAAUGCGUAGAGAUGUGGAGGAACACCGAUGGCGAAGGCAGCCCCCUGGGUCAAAACUGACGCUCAUGCGCGAAAGCGUGGGGAGCAAACAGG
rnacentral:rRNA from 1 species